rnacentral:rRNA from 1 species
AUGAAGCUUCGGCUGCGUUCCAUGGACGCGCGCGGCGGCGUCGCUGAGACGCACCGCGUGCAGCUGCCGGACACGGCCGUGCUCGCCGAUGUGAAGUCCUUCCUCGCCGCCAAGCUCUCCGCCGCGCAGCCCGUCCCCGCCGAGUCCGUCCGCCUCUCCCUCAACCGCUCGCAGGAGCUCUGUUCACCGGACCCCUCAGCCACCCUCGCCGCCCUCGGCCUCGCAUCCGGUGACCUCCUCUAUUUCACGCUCUCCGCAGAAUUAUUAUCGCAGCCACCGCCUCCUCAAACACUUCCCCGGAACCCUAGCCCGGAUACAGCCUCCAUCGGGCAAAUUGCUUCCGGUUCCCAAUCUCCUGGGGAGGCCGGUGGAUCCUCGUCACCGCCGCAAAAUCUACACAUACAGCCUGUCUCUUCGUCGCUGCCGCAAAAUCUACACAUAGAGCCUAUCUCUUCGCCGAGGCCGCGAGCCCUCCACGUGGAGCCUAUUUUGCCCGUGGCAUCUGAUCCGCCCGAUGUGGUGAUGGCGGAGGCCGUCCACGCACCCAAGAGCUUGUCGAGCCUUGUGAUUGGGAUUCUCAAGCGGGAGAUGGAGGCGGAGGAUGCUGGAUGCGCAAAUGGUACAGUUAUCCAUCGCCUAGCUGUGUCCCUGCAGGCAGCUCUUGUCGAUGCUGGCUUCCUUGCGGAGAAUCCGAUGGGGUCUCGCCCCAGAUUGCUGAAGGACUGGGCCUCGGGUGCAGCGGCAACACUGACCGUAAAGUACACCCUACCGGAGCUUGUCGCCAUGCUACCUGAGGGUGAAGAGGGGAAGACAGUGGUUUUGAACUGCUCAUUGAUGCCAAAUUUUGUGAUGAUAUAUGGGUGUGUGCCUGGGGCAUGCUCAGAAGUGCGCAGAUUGUGCUUGGAGUUACCAAAGCUGGCGCCGCUGCUAUAUCUGGAUAGCAAUGAAGUGGGUGCAACAGAGGAGAAGGAGAUUCUUGAGCUUUGGAGGGUGCUGAAGGAUGAGCUGUGUCUUCCGCUGAUGAUAUCUUUGUGCCAACUCAACGGGUUGCGCUUGCCGCCGUGCUUGAUGGCAUUGCCAGGUGAUCUGAAGGCUAAAGUCUUGGAGUUUGUUCCUGGUGUUGAUCUUGCAAGGGUUCAGUGCGCAUGCAAGGAAUUGCAGGAUCUUGCAGCAGAUGAUAAUCUUUGGAAGAUGAGGCUUGAACUGGAGAUGAGUCCUUCUAGCAAGGGUUCUGGAUGGAGCGGAGAUUGGAAGCAAAGGUUUGUGGCAGCUUGGAAGGUGGACAACAGUAGGAGGCAUCACAAGAGACCACCCAGCCCAAGGUUUUCGGGCUAUGGUUGGGGGAUCGGUACACGUAACCCACUUAACUUCCCAGUAAUUGGUGGUGAUUCGGACCGUCUGCCCUUUAUAAAUCACAAUAUCCUUGGGCGUAGUUUUGGAAAUCAGCGGAGGAACAUCUCGCCCAACUGCAAUUUCGAGGGUCAUCGCCAAGGGUUUCCUUGA